rnacentral:rRNA from 1 species
UACGUAGGGUGCGAGCGUUAAUCGGAAUUACUGGGCGUAAAGAGUGCGCAGGCGGUUUUGUAAGCCAGAUGUGAAAGCCCCGGGCUCAACCUGGGAAUGGCAUUUGGGACUGCAAGGCUGGAGUUUGGCAGAGGAGACUGGAAUUCCUGGUGUAGCAGUGAAAUGCGUAGAUAUCAGGAGGAAUACCGAUGGCGAAGGCAGGUCUCUGGGCUAUAACUGACGCUCAUGCACGAAAGCGUGGGGAGCAAACAGG